GCUCCCAAGCUCCCCUUCUUCCUCACCACAGGGAUUGCUUAAGAGUACUCAGGUGUCCUCCAGCUUAGUUCCACGCUCUCCAACCAUCGCUCUGGUGACUCUUCCACCUGGGUUCGAGCCCCACAUAUGGGCGCCACUUGCCGAGAACAGCUCAGUUGUGGAGACCCUAACCCAGUGGCUCUAGAGGAAUUAAAGAUGCACACCGUUUUCCCAUUUAUUAUAAAGGAUACAACUCAGGAACAGCCAAAUAGAAGAGAUGCAAAGGGCUAGAUAUAGGCAUGAGCUUCCAUGCCCUCUCCAGAUGUGCCAUCCUCCAGGCACUUACAGGUGUUCAGCAAUCCAGAAGCUCUCUGAACUCUGUCCUUUGGGGUUUUUAUGUAGGCUUCAUUACAUAGGCAUGAUUGAUUAAAUCAUUGGCCAUUGGUUACCAACUCAACCUUCAACCCCUCUCCCCUUUCUGGAGGUCAGGGGGUGGGGCUGACAGUUCCCACUCUCAAAUGACAUAAUUGGUCCCCUGGCAAUCAACCCCCAGACUGAGGCUAUCCGUGAGCCCCAAACAACCAGUCAUCUUAUUAGCAUACAAAAAGACACACAUUACUUCAGAGAUUCCAAGGGUUUUAGGAGCUUUAUGCCAGGAAGGGGAAAAGUGGACCAAGUAUGUAUUUUUAAUUUUGUCACAGUCCUUAUAAGAAGAGAAAAAGACUAGAGCUCACUCUCUCUGCCAGGUAAGGAUACAGCAACAAAGUGUCCCUCUGUAAGCCAAGAGAGGGCCCACAUCAAGAACUGAAUUGGGCAGCACCUUUGUUACUAGAAAAAGAUCCCAAUCCAGACCCCAAGAAAUGGUUUUUGGCUCUCACACAAGAAAGAAUUCAGGGUAAGUCCACAGAGUAAAGUGAAAGUGAGUUUCUCAGAGAAGGAAGAAACAAAACAAAAGAAUGGCUACUCCAUAGGCAGAGCAGCCCCAAGGGCUGCUGGUUGGUUAUUUUUAUGGUUAUUUCUUGAUUAUAUGCUAAACAAGGGGUGAAUUAUUCAUGAGUUUUCCAAAAGAGGGGUGGGCAAUUCCCAGAACUAAGGGUUUCUCCCAUUUUUAAACAAUAUAGGGUAACUUCCAGACAUUGCCAUAGCAUUUGUAAACUGUGAUGGUGCUAGUGGGAGUGUCUUUUAACAUGCUCAUGCAUUAUAAUAAGCACAUAAUGAGCAGUGAGGACCACCAGAGGUCACUUUCAUUACUAUCUUGGUUUUGGCAGGUUUUGGCUGGCUUCUUCACUGCAUUCUGUUUUAUCAGCAGGGUCUUUGUGACCUGUAUCUUGUGUUGACCUCCUCUCUCAUCCUGUGAUAAGAAUUCCCAGGAAUGCAGCCCAGCAGUUCUCAGUCUCAUUUUACCCAGCCCCUAUUCAAGAAUCACUCUGGUUUGAACUCCUCUGCCAUAUUUCCCCCUCUCCCUUUUAUAAGGGAACCUUUAAUUUUAAGGGUUGCAGAGGGAUGAAGCUCCAUAUUCUAUAGCUUCUUCAAGCUGAAUCGGGGUGGUGAUACUUCUUUCUAUUAGGUCUCUUGUAUUCAGAGUAGGGAGGAAUUCAGUCAGAAAACAUCAGUAUGGUGAAGGUCAUUCAUAACUCUGAAUCCCAACAAAAGAUGGUAUCU
rnacentral:lncRNA from 1 species